CUACAAACCCAGUGGCGAAUAAUGAAACCCAGUCAUGGGCCGCUGAGAGUCCAUGCUUAGCGAGAUGAAAGGCUAAAAACCAAUGUUCUCCAAUCAAAGAAAUCACACCAGUUGAAGCCACCAAGGAGUUGAUUUUAUCUGGCCAGAAAGGAUGACAGCUAGUGGUAAGCCAUCAAAGAAACUGACAUGUUUUAAUAGAACAAAGCAUACAUUUUUAUACAGAAUGCUCUUAUGUUUUUCCCGCUCACACCCAGCUGGGGCAGGCUUCAUGCUGAUUGGCUGAGCCAGUUUCUGACAUCACACCAGUUGGGAGGAUUCCCUCAGUGAGGUGGGAUUGUGGCAACCACCAGCCAAUCAGAGAGCACUCCCCGCUUCCAAUACAGAUUUCUGCUUUCCAAUGGCUGACACAGGGCAGGGUGACCAGCUGGAUAAAAGAGUACCUAGUUUUAUGAAUGAAUCACAUUGUCUCUCUUUCAAGAUGAACCAAGAAGGACCAUUAGGUCCCUGAUGAUUAUGGGGUUGUCCUUUGUAUUGUGAGUGACCCAUUAGGGUGGAUGCACCCAUAUCUAUUGUUGUCAGUGCCAGAGCUUUGUCCAAAGUGAUGGGAUUGUGGAAUCCAGUCUGGAAAAAGGGAAAUGGCAUCUUGGAUAAGUGUUGCUGGGUGAUUAAUGUUCCUUUUGUGUCCAGGUGGCUGCACAAAGAACAGGUGGCCCAGUAUCAGGGUCCCAUUAUCCCUUGUACAGCUGGCUUUAUGGGAAUCAAUAGAAAUAUAUGGAUUCCAGAGGCAGCAGCUGCACUGAGAGACGCAGGUUUGUUCUACUGGUGACUGGAGCACAGAAAGAUAUUUCCGCCUCCUCCUGCAAGCAAGCAAGGCUGCAAAAAAGGAACGGAGGUCCUCUAUGGGAAGAUCCAAGGAAAUCACACCAUAUUCUUGCUUGGAGGGCCGUGGAUGUGGGUAACGAAACAGUGGAUAAUGGAUAUAAGGGUAUUACUGUAUUUACACACAGCUUGGUCCAUGGGGCUAUCAUAGCUUGGUCCAUGGGGCUAUCAGAGCUUUCUCAGCACGGACACUCCAGUGAUGGAACUCCCCCCGAGAUAUAUUUGUUCUCUACUGUUUUGUCUGUUAGGUUAAAUGGAUCUGUUUGUACAAGCUGUUGUGGAAUAAUGGCAGUGACAAAUUUGUUUUGAACUGCUGCUGUUUGUAUUGUUUGUAUGGUAUUUGCUUGUCUGAUUUUAGAAAUGUGUAAUGUGCAGUUCUGUAAUUUUUAGACUCAUACUCUUAGGUCUUUCUAAUUUGAGAUUUUCAGGCUAUUUUACGCAAGAGAACCAGCCACCCUGUGUUCUUAUGAGGAAGGACAUGUAUAAAUAAAAUAAAACCCUUGUCAAUUUAAAUCAAUAUGCUCAUUACCAAACAUAACCUCAACAUCACCAUUGUUUUGAUAUAUGAAGUAACUAUGUGUGUUCACAUACAGCUUAAUAAGUGCUCCCAUUCAUCAUUAAAAGGAUAUUAAAAUACAUUUUGUUUCCUAUUUUGUUCAAAUGAACUCAAGGAGGCAUACAUGGAUGUCUCCCCUGCUUCAUGACAACUAUCUUGUGAGUUAAAUCAGUCUGAAAUAGUUUAUAUGAGCUUAAAUCCAAUCUAGUGUCAUCACCUCUUUUUCUGGUGUUGUUGUCUCUAGAGAACUGCAGGGCAGUAAUUCAUAAGAGUUGUGCGUGGAUCCAUUUUUAGCCAUUUCCUUUGGCCAAUCCGGCUUCUUCUGUUCAUUUGGGUGCAUGAAACGGCAGGGACCCAGUCAUUACAGAUUCUUCUCCACAAUGGGAUGACCUGGCAGGUGAUCUCAGCUUCUCCUCCCCUAUUCGGCAUCACAGUUUAAUCUUUUAUAUUAAUUCCCAAACAAACAAAAAGGAAACCCUAAUUGCCUGAAAAUUACUACCAGUUACCUCUCCUCUAGAGUAGAAAGUAGAAAUAGCUGUAAGGAAGCAUUAAACCUAAAGCAGAAAGGAGAUUGAAGCAUGCCAGGAAAAAGAGGGGUUUUUAAUGGAAGGUCAGGGAGGAUAUCUCCAGGAGAUCAGCCUUCUUCAUUACUUGGAAGUGGGAAGCCUCUUUAAAAUGCCUUGGAAAGAGUGCAUAGCUGGCGUGGUGCUGGCAUGGGAGAGAAAGGACAUAUGCGGCUGCCUGCAGUGCCUCUCCCCUAGAGUAGAAACAGCUUUAAGAACAAGAAUCCUCCUUAAAGCAUGCAUGCCUGCCUGCAGCCAAGUGCCUCUCCCCUAGAGUAGAAAC
rnacentral:lncRNA from 1 species